rnacentral:rRNA from 1 species
AGAGUUUGAUCCUGGCUCAGGACGAACGCUGGCGGCGUGCCUAACACAUGCAAGUCGAACGAGGUUCAUUCGGUGGCAACACUGGAGAAGACCUAGUGGCGAACGGGUGAGUAGCACGUGAGCAACCUGCCCCGAAGACUGGGAUAACACCGGGAAACCGGUGCUAAUACCGGAUACCCUCACGAGAUCGCAUGAUCAUGUGAGGAAAUGGAUUCCGCUUCGGGAGGGGCUCGCGGCCUAUCAGUUUGUUGGUGGGGUAACGGCCUACCAAGACGACGACGGGUAGCUGGUCUGAGAGGACGAUCAGCCACACUGGGACUGAGACACGGCCCAGACUCCUACGGGAGGCAGCAGUGGGGAAUCUUGCGCAAUGGGCGAAAGCCUGACGCAGCAACGCCGCGUGGGGGACGAAUGCUUUCUGAGUUGUAAACCCCUUUCAGCAGGGACGAUUGUGACGGUACCUGCAGAAGAAGCACCGGCCAACUACGUGCCAGCAGCCGCGGUGAUACGUAGGGUGCAAGCGUUGUCCGGAUUUAUUGGGCGUAAAGAGCUCGUAGGCGGUUUGGUAAGUCGGGUGUGAAACCCCCAGGCUCAACCUGGGGCCGCCAUCCGAUACUGCCAUGACUUGAGUCCGGUAGGGGACCAUGGAAUUCCUGGUGUAGCGGUGAAAUGCGCAGAUAUCAGGAGGAACACCAGUAGCGAAGGCGGUGGUCUGGCCCGAUACUGACGCUGAGGCGCGAAAGCGUGGGGAGCAA